CCACCGUCGAUUGACAACAACAUAUAAAUCAGGCGAAUCUUGAUCUUCUCUUCUUCGGCAUUGUAGCUUCUCUUCGCUGGAGCAAUGUCACAAGCUCGAGUCUACGCAGACGUCAAUGUUCACCGCCCUCGAGAUUACUGGGAUUACGAGUCUCUCACCGUUCAAUGGGGCGAUCAAGAUGACUACGAGGUUGUCCGAAAAGUUGGGAGGGGAAAAUAAGUGAGGUCUUUGAAGGUAUAAAUGUCACCAACAAUGAAAAAUGCAUCAUCAAGAUCCUUAAACCCGUCAAGAAGAAGAAG